rnacentral:rRNA from 1 species
AAGCACUUUCAGUCGUGAGGAAGGUAGUGUAGUUAAUAGCUGCAUUAUUUGACGUUAGCGACAGAAGAAGCACCGGCUAACUCCGUGCCAGCAGCCGCGGUAAUACGGAGGGUGCGAGCGUUAAUCGGAAUUACUGGGCGUAAAGCGCAUGCAGGUGGUUUGUUAAGUCAGAUGUGAAAGCCCGGGGCUCAACCUCGGAAUUGCAUUUGAAACUGGCAGACUAGAGUACUGUAGAGGGGGGUAGAAUUUCAGGUGUAGCGGUGAAAUGCGUAGAGAUCUGAAGGAAUACCGGUGGCGAAGGCGGCCCCCUGGACAGAUACUGACACUCAGAUGCGAAAGCGUGGGGAGCAAACAGGAUUAGAUACCCUGGUAGUCCACGCCGUAAACGAUGUCUACUUGGAGGUUGUGGCCUUGAGCCGUGGCUUUCGGAGCUAACGCGUUAAGUAGACCGCCUGGGGAGUACGGUCGCAAGAUUAAAACUCAAAUGAAUUGACGGGGGCCCGCACAAGCGGUGGAGCAUGUGGUUUAAUUCGAUGCAACGCGAAGAACCUUACCUACUCUUGACAUCCAGAGAACUUUCCAGAGAUGGAUUGGUGCCUUCGGGAACUCUGAGACAGGUGCUGCAUGGCUGUCGUCAGCUCGUGUUGUGAAAUGUUGGGUUAAGUCCCGCAACGAGCGCAACCCUUAUCCUUGUUUGCCAGCGAGUAAUGUCGGGAACUCCAGGGAGACUGCCGGUGAUAAACCGGAGGAAGGUGGGGACGACGUCAAGUCAUCAUGGCCCUUACGAGUAGGGCUACACACGUGCUACAAUGGCGCAUACAGAGGGCGGCCAACUUGCGAAAGUGAGCGAAUCCCAAAAAGUGCGUCGUAGUCCGGAUUGGAGUCUGCAACUCGACUCCAUGAAGUCGGAAUCGCUAGUAAUCGUGGAUCAGAAUGCCACGGUGAAUACGUUCCCGGGCCUUGUACACACCGCCCGUCACACCAUGGGAGUGGGCUGCAAAAGAAGUAGGUAGUUUAACCUUCGGGGGGACGCUUACCACUUUGUGGUUCAUGACUGGGGUGAAGUCGUAACAAGGUAGCGCUAGGGGAACC